CUACGGGGCGCUGCAGUGGUGAAUAUUGGACAAUGGGGGAAACCCUGAUCCAGCAAUGCCGCGUGUGUGAAGAAGGCCUGCGGGUUGUAAAGCACUUUCGGUUGGGAGGACUGCUUCUAGCACUAAUAUUGUUGGAAGUUGACGUUACCUUCAGAAGAAGCACCGGCUAACUCCGUGCCAGCAGCCGCGGUAAUACGGAGGGUGCAAGCGUAAUCGGAAUUACUGGGCGUAAAGCGCGCGUAGGCGGCUAGAUCAGUCGGGUGUGAAAGCCCCGGGCUUAACCUGGGAACUGCAUCCGAUACUGUCUAGCUUGAGUACAGGAGAGGAGAGUGGAAUUCCACAUGUAGCGGUGAAAUGCGUAGAUAUGUGGAGGAACACCAAUGGCGAAGGCAGCUCUCUGGCCUGAUACUGACGCUGAGGUGCGAAAGCGUGGGGAGCAAACAGGAUUAGAUACCCGCGUAGUC
rnacentral:rRNA from 1 species